rnacentral:lncRNA from 1 species
GUGCGCGCCGGGAGGCGCAGGUUGCCGCUGGCUGCGAGCGCGGUCGCCGGCGGUGAGGGCAGAAGCAGCUCCCCGCCACUAGGACCCCUGUGGGUUUUGUUGCCGAGCAAAGGUGGCGCACCGGGUAAACCGAGGAAAGCUGCAGCUGGUGUGCUGCAGUUGCAGGUUUCCUAGGAGAAAGAGCAGCUCGUCUGUCCCGACUGUCCAGCUCGUGCAGAAGGCUGACAGCCUGUCUCACUCUCAUCAGUGCUAUCCCACCAGCUCCUUUAGGAGCUCAGCACCGCGUUUGGCCUGUUGUGAUCUUUCCGAUCUCCUCAUUUCUGUGCUGCAACACCACCAUCCACAAAAAGUCAAGUAGGAUCUGAAGACCUUUGACAUUGCUAAAGAAUCAAACCUCAGCUGUCAUUUUUAGCCCUUUGUAUUCCAGAUGUUUGCUUUGCUGGACGAUGGUUUCAUUUUUGAUUUUGUAAUAUGUUCUUUGUAGAGGUUAUUUUAAGCAGACAAGUAGGUAGCCUCCUUCCUUCAGUGGAAUUG